rnacentral:lncRNA from 1 species
AUGUAUUUCAUGUUUCGCCCCUAUCAGGUCAGUUGCUUUGUGUACUCUGCCAGCUUGCUGUUUGUAGACGUCCGAACCAUCGAGGCCUCUCAGAUACUCAAUGGCAUCAUCAAUAUGGGACACCACAAACUCCACCUGUGUACUGACACCACUGUAUCACUGCUCUGUGGGAUACACAGACUCAGCCUGCAAGACCCACAUGGUGCUGAGAAGCACCUCCAGGUUGCCUUGGAAGACCAGGAGGCGCUGGUAUGGUAGAGAGCACCKUCUAGUGGUGGAGGAGUGCCUGSCAGACAUCUUGGCCCGACACCUGCGCUGACACAGCAGGGUGAGACUACCUCUCUUCUAGUGUUCUUCUGGUUCUUUUUCUCCUCUUCUUCAUCAUUAAUUGUGUCCUCCAUCGUUUCCUCAGUAGUUUAUUCUCUUCUCCCUCUUCCUCCUCGGUAGUUUACUCAGUCAGUCACAGUAUAUGAAUGUUACAGUGUGGUGAAGAUGUGACGUGUUGAGGCAGAGGCUAGCAGUGGAGCUGUAUCGACACACGGUGCACGUCAAAGACCAGAACAUGAAGCUUUGUCCCCCCGCAUCGCCAUGUCUUCAGGCGAAGGGAUGCAGCCUCGCACGCACCUUGGUCAAACUUGGUAAUUAGUUCAUUUUUUCAAACAGAUGCACCACAACUCUCAAUCAUUCUUACACUUUUUUUUAGACUGUUAGCAACUACGCAGAGUGUAAUAUGUUGAGCUUGUGUGUGUCAUGGCAGGCAGGCAGAUAUGUCAUGGCUCCGGUAAMACAGAGAGUAGAGAGGCUGUUGAACUGCUGCAGAGAGCUCRGGACRUGUARAUCUGCUUCCUGGGGUCUGAUCACACACUGACCAGAGACUUACAACAGUAAGCCUUCUUUAGCUCCUACACAAUUUAAAAUYCUAACAUUUCCUUCUUGCAUUGUCAUUGGAUCUAACGGAGUUGACCUUUGUGCUUUUAGGGUUUUAAACACAGAAUCCAGGAGACCUCUGACCACUUGGGUCUUCAGUUCCAGAACCCUCUCCCACCUCUCCACUAGGAGACUAAGCAGUGGGACCAGACCCAACACAGCCGCACCCCUCCACUCCCACCUGGCCUGGUACCGGGGCACCACACACACCCCUCUGGACCUCUCCGGAAAGAGAUUCCUGUCAGCCCCAUCCAACAAGUUCCGCAAUACACAGCCAGAACUGAAACCAGAACUGUGGAAUACCUGAACUACAUCAACAGACAGAACCAACUGUCUUCUUCUCCCAGGCCCUGGUCUGCCUUCCAGACCACAGUGUUUGGGCCACAGAGUGACAUCAGAAACCUGAUCUCAAACCCAGUCCUUCUUCAGCACCGGGCUUUCAUUCCAUAGACAGGACCCAAGUGCUGCAUAGGGCAGGCUGGUGCCACCUACCAGGCAGGUACGUUCUGGAGGAACGGACAGUAACAGCUUUGAACAGAGAGAUUGGA